GGUUAAGCUACUAAGAGCACACGGUGGAUGCCUAGGCGCUAGGAGCCGAUGAAGGACGUGGCGAACAACGAUAAGGCCUCGGGGAGCUGUAAGCAAGCUGUGAUCCGGGGAUGUCCGAAUGGGGAAACCUAACUGGAUUCAUCUCCAGUUACUCACACCUGAAUACAUAGGGUGUGCAGAGGCAGACGAGGGGAACUGAAACAUCUAAGUACCCUCAGGAAAAGAAAACAAGAGUGAUUCCGUCAGUAGCGGCGAGCGAACGCGGAACAGCCCAAACCAAGAAGCUUGCUUCUUGGGGUUGUGGGACGUCUCUUUGGAGUUACAAAGGAAUGAGGUAGGCGAAGAGGUCUGGAAAGGCCCGCAAGACAAGGUGAAAGCCCUGUAGCUUAAAUCUCAUUCUCUCCGAGACGGAUCCCGAGUAGUGCGGGGCACGUGAAACCCCGUAUGAAUCUGCCAGGACCAUCUGGUAAGGCUAAAUACUCCCUAGCGACCGAUAGUGAAGCAGUACCGUGAGGGAAAGGUGAAAAGGACCCCGGAAGGGGAGUGAAAUAGAACCUGAAACCGUGUGCUUACAAAAAGUCAGAGCCCUAUGAAUGGGUGAUGGCGUGCCUUUUGUAGAAUGAACCGGCGAGUUACGUUCCCGUGCAAGGUUAAGGUGAAAAGCCGGAGCCGCAGCGAAAGCGAGUCUGAAUAGGGCGACUGAGUACGUGGACGUAGACCCGAAACCAGGUGAUCUACCCCUGUCCAGGGUGAAGGUACGGUAACACGUACUGGAGGCCCGAACCCACGCACGUUGAAAAGUGCGGGGAUGAGGUGGGGGUAGCGGAGAAAUUCCAAUCGAACCUGGAGAUAGCUGGUUCUCCCCGAAAUAGCUUUAGGGCUAGCCUCGGAAGUUGAGUCGUGGAGGUAGAGCACUGAUUGGAUGCGGGGCCCGCAAGGGUUACCAAGUUCAGUCAAACUCCGAAUGCCACAGACUUUAUUCCGGGAGUCAGACAGUGAGUGCUAAGAUCCAUUGUCGAAAGGGAAACAGCCCAGACCAUCAGCUAAGGUCCCCAAGUGUGUGUUAAGUGGGAAAGGAUGUGAAGUUGCACAGACAACCAGGAUGUUGGCUUAGAAGCAGCCACCAUUGAAAGAGUGCGUAAUAGCUCACUGGUCGAGUGACUUUGCGCCGAAAAUGUAACGGGGCUAAACACACCACCGAAGCUAUGGCUUGAUACUUUGUAUCAGGGGUAGGGGAGCGUUGAAUGAAGAUUGAAGGUGUACCGCAAGGAGCGCUGGACCUCAUUCAAGUGAGAAUGCCGGUAUGAGUAACGAAAAGAUCAGUGAGAAUCUGAUCCGCCGAAAACCCAAGGAUUCCUGAGGAAGGCUCGUCCUCUCAGGGUAAGUCGGGACCUAAGGCGAGGCCGAAAGGCGUAGUCGACGGACAACAGGUUGAAAUUCCUGUACCACCGAAAGCCGUUAUGAGCAAUGGGAUGACGCAGGAGGAUAGUGACGCGGACUGAUGGAUGUCCGUUCAAGCAGUGAGGCUGAUAUGUAGGCAAAUCCGCAUACCCUAAGGCCAGGCUGUGAUGAGGAGCGAAAAUUGUAGUAGCGAAGGUCAUGAUUUCACACUGCCAAGAAAAGUCUCUAGCCAGGAAGCAGGUGCCCGUACCGUAAACCGACACAGGUGGGUGAGAAGAGAAUUCUAAGGCGCGCGGAAGAACUCUCGUUAAGGAACUCGGCAAAAUGACCCCGUAACUUCGGGAGAAGGGGUGCCCCGGUAGUGUGAAUAGCACGAGGGGGCCGCAGUGAAAAGGCCCAAGCGACUGUUUAGCAAAAACACAGGUCUGUGCGAAGCCGCAAGGCGAAGUAUACGGGCUGACGCCUGCCCGGUGCUGGAAGGUUAAGGGGAGUGGUUAGCGCAAGCGAAGCUAUGAACCGAAGCCCCAGUAAACGGCGGCCGUAACUAUAACGGUCCUAAGGUAGCGAAAUUCCUUGUCAGGUAAAUUCUGACCCGCACGAAUGGCGUAACGAUUUGGGCGCUGUCUCAACGAGAGAUCCGGUGAAAUUUUAAUACCUGUGAAGAUGCAGGUUACCCGCGACAAGACGGAAAGACCCCAUGGAGCUUUACUGCAACUUGAUAUUGAACUGGGGUGCGAUUUGUACAGGAUAGGUGGGAGCCGUAGAAACCGGAGCGCAAGCUUCGGUUGAGGCGCCGUUGGGAUACCACCCUGAUCGCAUUUGAGUUCUAACCUCGUACCGUGAUCCGGUACAGGGACCGUGUCAGGUGGGCAGUUUGACUGGGGCGGUCGCCUCCUAAAGUGUAACGGAGGCGCCCUAAGGUUCCCUCAGAAUGGUUGGAAAUCAUUCGAAGAGUGUAAAGGCAUAAGGGAGCUUGACUGCGAGACAGACACGUCGAGCAGGGACGAAAGUCGGGCUUAGUGAUCCGGUGGUACCGCAUGGAAGGGCCAUCGCUCAACGGAUAAAAGCUACCCUGGGGAUAACAGGCUUAUCUCCCCCAAGAGUCCACAUCGACGGGGAGGUUUGGCACCUCGAUGUCGGCUCAUCGCAUCCUGGGGCUGAAGUAGGUCCCAAGGGUUGGGCUGUUCGCCCAUUAAAGCGGUACGCGAGCUGGGUUCAGAACGUCGUGAGACAGUUCGGUCCCUAUCUGUCGUGGGCGUAGGAAAUUUGAGAGGAGCUGUCCUUAGUACGAGAGGACCGGGAUGGACGCACCGCUGGUGUACCAGUUGUUCCGCCAGGAGCAUCGCUGGGUAGCUACGUGCGGAAGGGAUAAGCGCUGAAAGCAUCUAAGCGUGAAGCCCCCCUCAAGAUGAGAUUUCCCAGUAUGUAAGACCCCUUGUAGACGACGAGGUUGAUAGGUUGGGGGUGGAAGUGCCGCAAGGCAUGGAGCUGACCAAUACUAAUCGGUCGAGGGCUUAUCCAA
rnacentral:rRNA from 1 species